rnacentral:rRNA from 1 species
AGUGAACGCUGGCGGUAGGCCUAACACAUGCAAGUCGAACGGCAGCACAGUAAGAGCUUGCUCUUACGGGUGGCGAGUGGCGGACGGGUGAGGAAUACAUCGGAAUCUCCUUUUUCGUGGGGGAUAACGUAGGGAAACUUACGCUAAUACCGCAUACGACCUACGGGUGAAAGCAGGGGAUCUUCGGACCUUGCGCGAUUGAAUGAGCCGAUGUCGGAUUAGCUAGUUGGCGGGGUAAAGGCCCACCAAGGCGACGAUCCGUAGCUGGUCUGAGAGGAUGAUCAGCCACACUGGAACUGAGACACGGUCCAGACUCCUACGGGAGGCAGCAGUGGGGAAUAUUGGACAAUGGGCGCAAGCCUGAUCCAGCCAUACCGCGUGGGUGAAGAAGGCCUUCGGGUUGUAAAGCCCUUUUGUUGGGAAAGAAAAGCAGCAGGUUAAUACCCCGCGGUUCUGACGGUACCCAAAGAAUAAGCACCGGCUAACUUCGUG